UACGUAGGGGGCAAGCGUUGUCCGGAAUCAUUGGGCGUAAAGCGCGUGUAGGCGGCCCGGUAAGUCCGCUGUGAAAGUCGGGGGCUCAACCCUCGAAUGCCGGUGGAUACUGUCGGGCUCGAGUGCGGAAGAGGCGAGUGGAAUUCCUGGUGUAGCGGUGAAAUGCGCAGAUAUCAGGAGGAACACCAGUGGCGAAGGCGACUCUUUGGCCUGUAACUGACGCUGAGGCGCGAAAGCGUGGGGAGCAAACAGG
rnacentral:rRNA from 1 species